rnacentral:rRNA from 1 species
UUGUCCUACGGGGGGCAGCAGUGAGGAAUAUUGGUCAAUGGGAGGAAUCCUGAACCAGCCAUGCCGCGUGCAGGACGACGGCUCUACGAGUUGUAAACUGCUUUUGUACCGGGGUAAAAUGCCUUACGAGUAGGGUUUUGAAAGUACGGUACGAAUAAGGAUCGGCUAACUCCGUGCCAGCAGCCGCGGUAAUACGGAGGAUCCGAGCGUUAUCCGGAUUCAUUGGGUUUAAAGGGUGCGUAGGCGGUCCGGAAAGUCAGCGGUAAAAGCCCGGGGCUCAACCCCGGCGAGCCGUUGAAACUGUC